CUGGCAUCCAUUUCUUUCGUAUAGUCAAAUCAUUAUCCAACCUUCUGACGAUAGCAAUUCCCCAAAAAAGAUAUUAAACUUUUGCUAUCUGUUUUUAAAACAUUUCUUCCAUACUCUCCUUCAAUCCGAGUUUCUUGAUUUUCUCCUUUUUCAAGCAAGAACAUACCGAUCCAGAUCUGCUCCCACCAGGUAAACAUUUUCCUCUCUGCCAAGGGCUUUUUUUUGCCAACUUGUGUGCAUUUGAGUUUUUUGAUCUAUGAAUGUGUUGAAAAUUUAGUUCUUGAAAACACGAUUUCUUGUUGUGGAUAUCGCUGAUAAUAGCCCCAAUCACUGAUUUAUCUAUUAAAUUUUUUUGACAUUUUUUGAUCACUGUUCUGGAGUCCCCCAUGAUUUUGAUUGAUGGCAUUCGUAGAGAGAUUCCUUACUUAAUACUUUCCAAACAUGCAUACGCCUCUGCUGCAAACGAGGAAGAGACCUUCUUAUGAAUCAUCGUAUUAAGCACCAGCAAAUCCCCGUUUUUGUCCCACCCUACCAGUCCUGUUGCUGACUUGAAGCUUCUUCUGUCGAAUGCUGCGUCAAAUUGGAUCGCUGCUUUUGACCCAAAUCGACCAUAAAGCAUAACAAAAAAGUCGACACUGAGCAUCAUUUCCUUUCUUAAAAACCCAGGGCACUCUCGGAACACAUGGAGACUUUUUUCAGGCCAGGAUCAACAUCGGGGGCAUUCCUCAUUAGUAAUAACUUUCCUGCAUCUGAGAUUAACAAAAUUGGGAAUAUAAUCCCAGGAGAUUCUCCAAAUAGUCAUUGUAAUUUUUGGGGGAAUCUGUAAUCCCCAUAAUUUCCUGUAAAAUUCCUUAGUUUCGGUCUGUAAUAAAUAAUCAGUAGGAUUAAGAGUAGCCUCUUGUAAUAGUUUAUAGGCGCUACGUACAGAAAAUUCACCGGAUAAUUCUCCCUUCCAUACUUGGAUGUCUUCGUGGUCUGUCUCAGCUAACGGCAUCUGUAAAAUUUUCUGAGCUGUUUCACCCUGAAAGAGAUAUUGUCUCCCCUGCCCACUCUCCAGCACAAUCCUUUUUGGAGUAGACCUUUUGCUGCCCAAAUGCUCCGCCAGGUGAGUGAAGGUAAAUUCCCCAACUCUGCCUUAAGAAAACAUGAACGUGGAUAGUAUUUAGCUUUUAUAACUCUGGCUAAUAAAGAAUUUGGAUUAUUAAUAAGUCGCCAUCCUUGUUUUUCCAGUAACGAAACAUUAAAUUGAGCAAGAUUUCUUAAACCUAAUCCACCGUUUUCUUCUAAGGAACAAAUAUUUUUCCAAGUGCACCAAUGGAAUCCCCUUUUCCCAUGUCCUUUCUGCCACUAGAACUUGGCUAUGAUACCCUCCAUAUCGUCACAUGGUGCUUUAGGUAAUAAAAAACAUGCCAUUGUAUAAGUCGGAAUAGCCUGAAGAGCAGCCUUUAUGAAUACGUAUUUCCCUCCCUGCGAUAAUAACCUAAUGCUCCAAUUAUCGAUACAUUUUUUGAGUUUGACUUUCAAAUUCUGAAAAGAUUCUUUUUUCUUCCAACCACCAUUAUAGGCAAUCCUAAAUAAUGUUCUGGUUUAUUAGAGCUUCGUACCCCCAAAAGAUUGACAACUUGUCUCUUAUCCUCCUCCAUCGUAUUCUUAUUGAAAAAAACAGUUGAUUUUUCAAAAUUUACACACUGUCCUGAACAUGACUUGUAUCCGCAUGGAAUGUCCUUGAAAAGGUUGGCUCCUCUACUUGUUGCUUCUCCAAACAAAAUGCAAUCGUCAGCAAAAAAUAAAUGGGAUAUCUGCGGACCAUUUCUACUGAUCCUUACUCCUUUUAGAAAACCCUUGGUUGUUGCUAGUCUCAGCAGGCUUGACAACCCUUCUCCACAUAAGAGGAACAAAAAUGGGCUAAGUGGAUCCCUUUGCCUAAGACCUCUAGCUGGGCAGAAUUUUUCUCCAAUAUGUCCAUUGAUAAUUACUGAAUAAGAAACUGAAGUAACACAAUGCAUAAUAGUAUUUACCCAACUUUGAUCAAACCCCAUCUGUAACAUUAUCCUAUUUAAGAAGUCUCACUCCACUCUGUCAUAUGCUUUACUCAUAUCAAGUUUAACAGCCAUGUACCAUUUUUUCCCCAAUCUAUUCUGUUUCAACUUGUGCAAUAUUUCAUAGGCUAAUAGCACAUUAUCUGAAAUUAGCCGACCUGGCAUAAAGGAACUUUGCGCCUCAUCAACACAUUUUCCAAUAACUUCACUCAAUCGAUUUACAAUAGCUUUUGCAAUGAUUUUAUAAAGAACAUUACAUAGGCUAAUUGGCCUGAAUUGCGACAUAUUAGAUGGAAUAGGAAUUUUUGGGAUAAGUACUAUAUUUGUAGAAUUAAUUGAACUUACCUCUCUACUGCCGUUUAAUAUCUGUAAGCAAAAAGUGGUAACAUUAUCUCCGACUAUUUGCCAACAUUUCUGAUAAAAGAGGGCUGGGAAACCAUCUUCUCCUAGUGCCUUUGUUGGUCCCAUGGUAAAAACUGCUUCCAUAAUUUCCUCUUUGGUAUAUACUGCUGUCAACUUUCGAUUGUCUUCAUCAUGAAUACACCAUUCAAUCCCUUCUAAUAUGCGAUCAUACUCCCCCUUCAUUCUGUUGAAAACAACUUCUUGAAGUAACACUGUGCUAUACCUUCCAUGUCUUGCAAGUUCCCCAUCUCUCUUCCAUCUUCAUUUUUUAGCUUCCGAAUAAGGUUCUUGCUCCUUCUCUAUAACGUUAUGCCAAUCGAUUCGGGCCCUUUGUUCCCAGUAGCAUUCUUCUUUUUCAAGCUCGAAAUUUAAAUUGAUUUUCGUAUCAAUCAGUUCCUCCAAAGUCUUAUUGUCUCUUUCUUCCUCAGCCAACUCCGUUAGUUUCCUUAUGAGAACCUGUUUUGUCUUCUUUCUUUCAUUUUGGAUUUGCUCAGCCCACCUUUGUAAUCCUUUUUUCAAAAAAUUCAAUUUCUGUACCAGCUCUCCUGAUGCGUUCUCCCACAAACUCUUAACUUCAUUAUCAAAAGACUCUUCCAAUGACCACCAAGCUUUAAAUUUAAAAUUGUAACUCCUUUCUUCAUGCCUCCUUGUGUUAAUAAGAAGUGGACAAUGAUCUAAAAACGAGUGCGCUAAAUGUUGAACUCUUACCUCUUGAAACAUAUUAAUCCAUUCCAUGUUUGCAACUCCUCUAUCUAAUCUUUCUUGUAUGUUGGUCUCCGGUAAGUUUCCUCUUUCCCAAGUAAACCAGCUGCCUUCAUAGCCCACAUCGUACAAUUGACAUUCCUUGAGUAUUCUUCGAAACAAUUCCAUUCUCCUCUCAUCUCUAGGUAGUCCUCCUUUCUUUUCGGAUCCAUACAUAAUUUCAUUGAAAUCACCAACAACAAACCAUGGGAAAUCCUUAUUAGUAGUCAGGCUUUUCAAAACAACCCAUGAUUCAUUCUGAUCCUGUAUAUAAGGGGAUCCAUAGAAACCUGUAAAUCUCCACUUGCAUCAUUUUUCAUUAUCGUCAACAAAUACAUCAAUGUGUCUUUUAGAGAAACUGCUCAGCGUUAUAUCAACCUCAUUCCUCCAUGUUAAACACAAUACUCCUCUCAUACCUUCUGGAUCAACUUCAAUACCGUUCGUAUAACCACAUCUUCUACGAACUCGUUCCAUCUGCUGUCUUCCUAGUUUUGUAUCCAUAAAGAAGACCAUUUGGGGAUUAUGUAACUUCAGCAUCUGCCGAAGUCUUUUAACCGUCUGUAGUCUCCCCAAACCACGGACGUUCCAGCUUAUUAUUUUCAUUGUGUCCGGUCGGCUUGCCUCUUGGCAACCGCCGAUGAUAAAAGGUUGAAUUCCACCUUUUUCCUAUUUAUUAUACUUGUAUUAUCCCUUUCUGCAUUGUUGAAAAGAUCUUCCAUCUCCCCCCUGUUUCGUUUUUCCUUCCUCCCCUACUAAGGUAUCAUUUUCUAAAUCAUGUUCCAUUGCCAUAUUUAUCAGACUCGAACCAAAUUUGCUCUCUCGCUAUUCUACAGACGGCACCCCUCCUUCAAUACUAAACCCCAGAAUUGGGUCAAUAAUCUUUCCCCCUCGUUCUUUUGAACUUCCAUCCCUUUGUCUUGAUUCUCCAGAUCGAUUCUCCCCCCAUCUUCCCUUCCUUUUCCUUCUUCCUCUUCUCGUAGCCAUAUACUAUUCAUUGAAAGAGCUCUUCGAGAUUGCGCUCGCAAUGAUAAAUCCCAGCCCAAUUCUUCUGUAUCUGCCCUUGUCAUCAUUUUUAUCUCACAGAAUGAAUCAUUAUACCCUAAUCUUCCGCAGUAGAAACAAAAAAGCGAUAACCGUUCAUACUUAAACUUGACAUAUGACCUAACCACAUUGCACAAAUCCUGCUUCUUCCUUUUCAGAGGCUUCUUAACAUCAAUCAGUACUCUUACCCUCAUAUAAUUACAAUUUUCCUUUCCUAGAUUUGAAGUAUCAUAUUCUAGGAAAACACCUAAAAAAUUACCCAGUUGGAUUGCUAGCUUUUUAGAGAAUAAUCCAAUUGGGACAUCAUGGAUUUGAACCUAGAAAGGAGUAAAUAGUAGCGGCACUUUUAGUGGAUCUUCGCCUCUCCCCAACUUAUUCAAUAAUAGCAAGUGGUUAUUAAAAGUCCAUGGUAGACCUUUUAGAACCCUUUCCAUAUCAAUAUUAUGAUCAUAAUUGGAACAAAUACCUUUUUUCACCCAGAUCUCUAAUUUGGACCCCAUAAACAGGGUGCCACAGAUUUGCCAUAGUGCUUUUCAUGCUGGAAAAUGAAUAACACUUGCUGUUAAGAAACAUCCCACAAGCUGGAACUCCCCCACUCCACUUUGAUUACCCGGAUCUGCCUGAAUCUGCAAUAUUUCUUCUUCUUUCUCAUUAAUCGAUAAUUGUGCUAAUUCAUUCUCCAUGGCUACAGGUUGAUUACCAGAAUAACACAAACACCCCUUUUUCAGAUUUCAGGAAAAAAGAUCAGAAGCGAAGAAGGCAAUUGGUAAAACAUAACACAAACGAUUAAAGAAAAACAAAAACGUGCCAGCGGUGGCAGACCUAAGCGUGCUAGGGAAGCAGACUCUUUAUUUAUUUUUAUUAAAAUAAUUAUAUUUAUUCUAUUUCAAAUUAGAAAUUUUAUCACAUAAGAAUGUGUAAAAAUUACACAUUUAAAACACAAUUGAUGGACAUAAUAAAAUGUGCAUAAAAGCAAUCAAAAUAAAACUUUG